rnacentral:lncRNA from 1 species
GAUCUCCUGGUCCAGCCUGAUAUCUCCCUGACUGACUCAAUGGGAGGGGUCUCCAGGGGCCACCAGGGGCCCGAGGUGUUCAGGGACUACAGCUUCACCAUCACCUGCUCCACUCAGCCACAGUACCCAGGAGGCUCCUUCCUCCUCACGUUCACCGGCUCCAACAGAACCCAGGCCCAGCCAGCUAUCAAUCACUCUGCUGCCUUCCUCUUCCCUGCUGCAGAUGACUCCCACCAAGGGAACUACAGAUGUGUUUAUGAGAAUUAUGUUUUCUCUCAUAACUUCUCCUCUGAGAGUGAGCUCCUCACCCUCACCAUCACAGCCUCUCCUCUGCCAGCCUUCAUCAUCAGACACGUUGUAGUGCUGCUGAUCCUACUGACAGCCAUCACCACCUCCUACUUGUACUACAAGCCCACCAGGAGGCAGAAGAGAGUGAACAGGGUGAGCAGCA